CUUAAAGAACAGGUAAAAAUUUAAAUCUAGAUUGGAGGGACAGGGAGGAAGAGGUGAGCAAAGGCAAGGAAGGGCGGUGAAGUUCACAGCUCCCCCCAUACCCCACUAGUGAACUAUUAUGCUAAUAUGAGAAGUAGUAUUUGGAGGCUGAGUCAAAGGCAGGCCUGGCCCGGGGGUGAGGGUGCCGGGUGCCCCUCUGCACUCAUUCGCAAUUGGAACACCAGGACUUUUUUAGAAAGUAGUUCUGGGUCUCCAACCCUCACACUCUGGCUCCCUCCUUCUGAGUCUCCAGCCCCGGCUUCUUCCCUCCACUACACCCUCUCUAUUCCUCCCAAAUCUCCCUCCAGUCUCCAGGCCCAGUCUCUAACCAAGGGAGAGGGAAAGACCAGAACUUAAAAAAAAAAAAAAAAAAAAAACACCCCUCCCCCUUUUUCUUUUUGAGAACAGACAACAAGCGGUGAGUGAUGAUUUUAAAAACUCUGAACAUCUUGCAGGGGGAGGAGGGUUGAGAAAAGGGUGACAAAAGGAGGACUCUGUGUUUUAGUUUGAGCUCCAGACUGGCUGGCAGUAGACGGGCUGAAAGAACUUCAUGGAUAAGUUUCUGUUAUGAUUCUCACCUCCGAAUAGGCAGAAGGGGCUAAGAGGUGAUAAGGACAUUUGUACUUCUAAGAAGAGAAGAACUAGCAGGGUCGCUUAAUUUUAAAUGCACUGGCAGAAGAGAUGGAAGAUGGUUAUUAUUAUUAUUCAGAACAACCCUGUUUGUUUCUCUCUGCCCUGCAAGAUUUAUGACUCUUGGCACAAGUGAGGAAGGCCACAAAAGCUAAAGUUUUCUUAGGGUGUGUUUGAGCAGGGCAGGAAAAGGCAAGGAGGAGGCCUGUAGGAGGAAGACAGGAGCCAAAAAUGUAGGUGUCUGCAGAUUUGGGACAGGGGGUGGGGAAUAGUCAUUCCGGGAGGAAGGAAAAGACAAAAAGAGCACCAGGACAUUUCCCAAAGCAGGAGUGUUUGCAACUCUGCCUAACUGCUGACUCGGAGCUAGGGGAUGAAAUAGAAAGCUGACUCUUUUCUCUAAAGGCAGCUUGGAAAACUGGUCCUCUUAACUUCAUGUAAGGCACUACCCUGUGAUUUCCUGGUUAGAAUACUUGGCUUUUGCCUUCUCCCAUCUGGAUGCACCAGAAGAGGGAACGGGACUGGGGACAACAAAGUAUUAACGAAGAUUUCAAAGCUGGGAGUUGUAAAGUGGGAAUUGCUAAUGAAGAAGGCUCUUGGCAUUUGGAUCCCCAUCUCCAGCUCUCCAAUAAGCCAGAGCAGGAGGGAACAAAGGGGCACCCGGAAGGGAGAAGAGGAGACUCGCAUAGACACUGCUCAGCAAUAGUGGGGAUCAAAAGAAGAAAAAGGUCGCUGCAGUGGAAGAAGAAAAAUCCAAGCUGUACUUUUUCCCCACCCCACGUGUGGGGGCGCUGCCCUCUCCCCAGCUGAGCCUGUGAAGGGGUGGCAGGACAAAAAGGGCAGCCACAAGGGUCUGCGAAGUCCACUCGAUGACCACGGAGGCCGCCUGAACAUGCUAAUGAGGGGAUGGCGGUGCUGCCAGCGAGUUGGGAGCCUCAGGCAGGUGGGCUCCUUGGUGGUGAUAGAUCCCAAUCUGAAUCAGGGCUCCCGCCUCACCUAGAAGCUCAGCCUUAGCCUGGCAAACCCCACCCCCAGCAAGUGUUGAGACAAAGGUGGGCAGAGCAGAGAAGGCAGAGGAAGGGAGGCUGCAAAUCCUGGGCAGCUUGGGGGCUGCAGGGGGUGCUGGGAAAGGGAGGGAGAAGCAGGAAAAGAGGAACGGGCCCAGUCCCUGAGGUUCAGCGGGCCUCUCCUGACAGACUGGAUGUUUCUCUCCCAGUGACCUCUGUUUAGCAGACAAUAACUCAGUGGAUUAAUGACCAAUCAGCGAAAGGCCUUCCGAAUUGCCUCCAAAUAUAAAACUCCGAAGUCAGAAUGGGACAGAGCCAGAGUCUGGGCCUGCCAGCUCUUUUGUUUUUUUUUUCUCUCUCAAAUUAGUGUUUGGGGCUAGGCUUUAGGAAGUGGAUUAUCUGCCCAGUGUCUCAGAUUUCCAGAGCCCCAAAGAUGAGGUUGUUUCCCAUCUCUUCCCAUCUUCUUCUUCCCUCCUUCCCCGGAAUUCAUAUUCCAAACCACACUUCCCAAGGCAGCCUGGAAACCUCCCCUCCCCUGCUAGCCUCUUCACAUCCCUGAUCCUGCAAGAAAUUUCCUUGCUCACAACCAUGCAAUUGAGAAGCCACCACUCCUUUGGAACUGGGGGAGGAGCUGGAAAAUAAAAGCAAGUAUAGAGUGGGAGUCUUCCACCAUGCAGGCCUUCUGUCCUGGCUACCCUAGAGGAGACCCGGUAGAGUGCUGUGGCACCCUGUGUGUGCUUCCUCCCAAGAAGCCAGGGCUCAGAGGCCCAGGGUUGGGGUGAGGCUGAGAAGGGAGGCACCUGCUAUCACAGAAUCUAAACUCUGAAACCACUGUUCAGUCCCUGGGCUGGGGUAGGGGGCACCUUAAAAACCACACUCUGUUGGGAGGCCGAGGCAGGCGAUCACCUGAGGUUGGGAGUUCGAGACCAGCCUGACCAACAUGGCGAAACCGUGUCUCCACUAAAAAUACAAAAUUAGCCAGGUGUGGUGGCGCAUGCCUGUAGUCCCAGCUACUCGGGAGGCUGAGGCAGGAGAAUCGCUUGAACCCAGGAGGCAGAGGUUGUGGUGAGUGGAGAUUGCACCAUUGCACUCCAGCCUGGGCAACAAGAGCGAAACUCCGUCUCAAAACACACACACACACACACACACACACACACACACACACACACACUGAACAAUGACAGCCUUAGCCCAGUGCCUGGCAGGGAAAGACUCUUGCUCAGUAAGGCCCAGCCCUUCUUUACUUAGCCCUUCUCCAAAUGCCAAUCUCAACCCAACCCAGCUAGCUGGCCCCUCACCACUUCCUUCUAGUUCCACUGCUCUCCUCAGGGCUACUCCUCAGCUGAGAAUAAGGGCACCUUCAGAAAGAGGAAUAGUCCAGAUUCCAGUGGAUUUCCUAGAGCCAGACUGAGUAAGCAUCCACUGCUCUGGGUGUAUGUAAACUCUGAAUAUUGCAAAUAAACAUGCAGUAACUUCUAUACCCAGAUGCCCACAGAGCUCCAGGACACACAAGGGAGUGCCUCCCAUGCACUGUCCUGCUGAGGAUGGGUACACACAGAGGUGCCCAAUUUCAGAACAGGAGAGAAAUCAGGAAGUGUCCAGUCCAACUCUUGCCAUUGUUACAGAUCAGGAAACUGAGGCCCAGAGCAAGGAAGUGAUUUGUCUAGAGUCAUACUUGGGAUAGGCUUGGGAGUUGGAAGGCCUGAAUUUCAGAUGUUCCAGCUUGGCUAUGUGACAUGAGGCAGGGCACUCCUUGGGCCUGAGUGUCCCCUUCUGUAAAGCCUGGGCAUGUGUAUGGAGGGAAGGGGUUUAGCUAAAUGAUCUCUAAGGUCUCUUUUUGGACUGAAUGUUAGUGAUUCUCCAUGUGCUGAUGUAAAAGUGAGUGACAAGAAGUAAUAAACUGAGUUCAGACAAUAACGGG
rnacentral:lncRNA from 1 species